rnacentral:misc_RNA from 1 species
GAUGAAGAACGUAGCGAAAUGCGAUAAGUAAUGUGAAUUGCAGAAUUCAGUGAAUCAUCGAAUCUUUGAACGCACAUUGCGCCCCCUGGUAUUCCGGGGGGCAUGCCUGUCCGAGCGUCAUUACAACCCUCAAGCUCAGCUUGGUGUUGGGCCCCGCCGCCCCGGCGGGCCCGAAAGUCAGUGGCGGUGCCGUCCGGCUCCGAGCGUAGUAAUUCUUCUCGCUCUGGAGGUCCGGUCGUGUGCUCGCCAGCAACCCCCAAUUUUUUUCAGGUUGACCUCGGAUCAGGUAGGGAUACCCGCUGAACUUAAGCAUAUCAAUAAGCGGAGGA